GCUAUGAAUAUGAGCUUGUUGCUCCUUUGUUGAGCAAUACUUUGCUAGUAAUGAACCCAGAGUUCCCUUACGUAACUCAUGCCAACUUCUUUGCUAAGCGCAAGAACACUGAUUCCCCUUUGGAGCUCUUUUUUACUGAGGUGGUACGGUGGCAUGUGGUGACUUUUUCGGGAAAGUUCUCAAGUGUUGUAUAUUGACACCUCGACUCAUUGAUUCUUCUCAAGUUACUACGAUGAGUAUUGAGUUCUGAUCAUCUUGUAGAGAUUUUGCAUCCUGAAGAUGUACAAUGUACUCAAUGCAAGCUUUCACAAUGCUGCGAUAGUGACUGACGAUGAUUGAUUGUGAUUGCUCAAACAAACUUUCCCACCCUUUUAUUGUUUGUAAAAGUGUAGCUUGCACUCUUUUACUCUUUCAGAAUGGUUAUGUAUUACGCCUUUUCUAUAUAUGUCAAUGAGCUUUCCUUCAA